rnacentral:rRNA from 1 species
GACGAACGCUGGCGGCGUGCUUAACACAUGCAAGUCGAACGGAAAGGCCCUGCUUUUGUGGGGUGCUCGAGUGGCGAACGGGUGAGUAACACGUGAGUAACCUGCCCUUGACUUUGGGAUAACUUCAGGAAACUGGGGCUAAUACCGGAUAGGAGCUCCUGCUGCAUGGUGGGGGUUGGAAAGUUUCGGCGGUUGGGGAUGGACUCGCGGCUUAUCAGCUUGUUGGUGGGGUAGUGGCUUACCAAGGCUUGGACGGGUAGCCGGCCUGAGAGGGUGACCGGCCACAUUGGGACUGAGAUACGGCCCAGACUCCUACAGGAGGCAGCAGUGGGGAAUAUUGCACAAUGGGCGGAAGCCUGAUGCAGCAACGCCGCGUGCGGGAUGACGGCCUUCGGGUUGUAAACCGCUUUCGCCUGUGACGAAGCGUGAGUGACGGUAAUGGGUAAAGAAGCACCGGCUAACUACGUG